AUUUGGCAUAGGGGGAGAUGCUUCCUCCUUUUAAUUACUUUAUGAAUAGAAUGUAAAGUUACUUUUUAGAUAAGUUCAUAAUAGCUUCCUUGUGUUUAUUUCUGUCCGGUUCCAUGGUUUCUGAGGAAAUUGAAGACUAUAUAACUUUGGUUUGCUUACUAACUGGAAAAUUUUUCUCUCGAUCCAACAUUAGAAUACCUGGUCUCAAACCCUGAUGAAUUGUUCUAUUCCAUCUCCCCCAUUGAAUUUUUGGUGGGAAGCCCAGUGUGCUCACUCUUAUGAUAGAAGAGUCUUGCCAAUGUGUUUGCCAAUGAUGAUCAGGAAUAAAAUAAGCACAGUAUAUAUCUUGGUGGAUAGUUUCUGGGACAUAUUUUUAGUAAGUAUUUGACUACAAGACAAAUGUCUUUUCCUAAAGAAACGGUAUGGGUCAUAGAAAAUGAACAUAUGUUUUAGCUAAUAUUUUAGACCAAUUGCAUAUUUUCUGGAAUAUUUUGGUAUUAACUACCUUAAAACAUGCUUUGUUUUUAACAAAUGGUGAAAGAUUAAAAAUAUUUGUUUUUUUCAGGUUGUAUAUAUUAUUAAGACUUCCUUUUAUUACAGUAGUAACUUUGCAGUAAAAAAGGGUAAAUAGGCAGUCUAUUGAGUUUCUUCUUGACCUGACUUACUUGAAGUAAUCCUUGAAGACAUUGUAACAGACAUUGAUUCCUCUUUGUUUACAAAGAUUGCUGAUAGCGUAGGCUACCAUAAUCUGCUCUUGCUUUAUUUUCUCUCUCUAAUAGCACAUGGAUUUCACCAACAGCUCUCACAGAGAUUCUACACCUUUUUGGUCACCUGUCAGUGCUUGAUAGCUGACACAUUCUAUUCUUAUGGAACAUAUUUUAAAGUAUAAAAGCUCGUAGAUAGGGGUGACACACACAGACACAGUUCGUGUCAGAAUACAGAGAAUAUAGCAUAAUGAAUGAGAAGUAUAGACUAUACUUUUUAAGUGAUCUUCUCACACACGAUAUAAGCAGUUGAUGAAGCAAAAAUGAGCUUUGUUUAAUGCCAAAUCAUAGCAUAAUGCUAGCUGAAGGAGUAGGAGGAAUAUACAGUCAUUCGUUGCUUAACAAUGGGGAUGCAUUCUGAGAAGUACAUUACUAGGCGAUUUUAUUGUUGUGCAAACAUCAGAGUCUACUUAAAUAAAACUAGGUAGUAUAGCUUACUACACACCUAGGCUACAUGGUACAACCUGUUACUUAUAGGCUACAAACCUGAACAGCAUAUUAUAUUGAAUACUGUAGGUAGUUGUAACACAGUUGUAAGUGUUUGAGUAUCUAAGUAUAUCUAAGCAUAGAAAAGGAAAUGUAUUGCACUACUAUGUUACAGCUGCUAUGGCAUCACUGACAUCACUAGGCUAUAGGAAUUUUUCAGCUUUAUUAUAAUUUUAUGAGACCACUGUUGUAUAUGGGUUUUGUCAUUGACGGAAACAUCACAUGGCACAUUACAUAAUUUCCCUGAGUAAACCCCCUUUGGACCAAUUUUUGAUCACUGUCUCUUGAUUAGUCACAUGCAUGAUAACAAUCCUGUUACUCUUACAUAUCUAGGGACAUGGCUCUUAUACAUAUUCUAGAUCUAGAACACAUUAAUUGGAGGUGAUACUAUAAACAUCUUAGAAAAAUUAUGUGUAUGAUGCAUUUGGUUAUACUUACACCUAUAUAUUCUCACUUAUGUAUGUUUUAUCUCUAUCCAAAUAGAAUGCGAGAUAAUUAUCUCUCAUUUUGGUAACUGAGUCAUACUAUGAAGGUUUUAACUCAGUUGUAAAUGCACAAUAUAAUUAACAUUACUUUGUCUGUUUAUAGAAACUAGUAUGUUUGCACUUUGACAGGUGGGUUGAACCCAAGGAAAGAUGAAUACUGAAUUUGUAUUCAGUAUGUUAAAAAAAAGUUGAAAGUUUGCAAAACUUGGUUGAUUUAAGGAUACUGGCCUUAACUUAGUAGAGCUUUCCCUAAAUAUGAAAUAAAGUUUUUGCACAAACCUGCAAGAAAAAGAAUUUUGGGCCCAUCAGUUUUGUUUUUACUAACUGAGAAGUGUUGAAUGUUUAGUUUUUAAAAACCUGUCAAGGCCAAGGAUGGUGGCUCAUGCCUGUAAUCCCAUCACUUUGGGAGGCUGAGAUGGGUGGAUCACUGGAGGUCAGGAGUUCUAGACCAGCCUGGCCAACAUGGUGAAAUCCUGUCUCUACUAAAAAUACAAGAAUUAGCUGAUUGUAGUGGUGCAUGCCUGUAGUCCCCAGCUUCUUGGGACACUGAGGCAGGAGAAUUGCUUUAACCCAGAAAGCAGAGGUUGCAUUGAGCUGAGAUCGUGCCACAGCAUUCCAGCCUGAGUAAUAGAGCCAGACUCCAUCUCAAAACAAAAAAAAGACCUGUCAAAAAUUAAUUUACCUCAGUUCUUCAAAAAGUUAAACAUAGAAUUACCGUUUGACCCAACAAUUCUAUUCCUAGGAAUAUACCCCAAAAAUUGAAAUAGGUAUUCAAAGUCUUAUACACAAAUAUUUAUAUUCAUAGUAGUACUAUUCACGAUAGCUAAGGUGGAAACAACCCAGAUGCCCAUCAACAGAUGAAUGGAUAAACAAAACUUGGUCUAUCCGUAGGAUGGAAUAGUAUUCAGUACAUGAAUGAAGCACUACGUGCUGUAGCAUAGAUGAACUUGGAAAACUGAAUGGAGCCAGAUCCAAAAUACUCUGUGGUUCCAUUUAUAUGAAAUAUCCAAAACAGGUAAAUCCAUAGAGACAAAAAGCAGAUUAAUGGUUGCCAGAGGCUGAUAGGGAGAAAAAGACUGAGGAGUGACUGAUUAAUGUGUAUGAGAUCUCCUUUGGUGAUACGAAAAUGGCGGUAUGAAAACUGUUUUGGAACAGAGAGAGGUGAUGGUUGUAUCAAAUUGUAAGUAUACCAAAUGCCACUGAAUUGUAUACUUUAAAAUGGUUUAUUUUAUAAGAAUGUCAUCCCAAUUAAAUAUUCAGUUCAUCCGAGAUAUACCUUUCCCUCAUGGAUGCUCAAUUUUAUUUGAUAUCUUUUUUUUUUUUCUGUCACUGCAGCAGAACAGAUGUUUGAUAAGGCUUAAUUCUGUUUUAAUACUUACCUCAGAAAGUUACAUUUCAGAAUCUUGUCUUUACAUAGUUGGUUAGCUUUGAACUUACUUUUCUUGUAAUAGGAAGAUAUAUUGAGAUUAGUGAAUUUGAUGAGAAGAAUAGGUGACAAUUUAAAUGUAAGGAAGAGAAUAAAUCACAGUUGUAGAAAGGUGGUAAAAUUAUGUUUUAUUGUACAUAUGCUACUUGAGACUUCUUGACCAACUGAAAUUCUUCAGCUAAUAAAACGUACAUGUUCCCAGGAAGUGUAGUCAGAUAAACCUUACAGAAUGUCACUUAUUAUUUGGAAUUAGAAGUAAUACCGAAAAGCAAAGUUUAAAAUGGCCUGGUUUUCCUGAUAUUCCAUAUUUUCAUUCUUAACUGUUCUAUUUGUAUAUUGGAGCAAUUUGUCAUGAGUCAACAAAUCCCAGUUUUAUGGCUAUUGUGAGUCUCUGUCUUUCACCUAGUUUUCUUUCUCUUGCUGAUCUCUUACAUGGUAGCUGUGACAGUUUGUCUUUGACAGUUUGUGGAUAUAUUAUAACAGUAACUGUUUUUUACAAUAGUGGAUAACAUAAGGAGUUUAAGUAGGACUCAUUCCUACAAAUAACGCAAGUUCCAUGAAAGGUUGAAGCUGAAGGCAUGAACUCCAUUGGAUAUAUGUAGGAUCUAGAAUAGGAUCAGGCCAGUAGUAAUGUUUAAAAGAGCAGGAUUGGGAGGAGGGAAUGGCUUAGGCUCUGAGGUGGGUUAUGAAAUUGAAUGUUCCUCAUCAUAGUUCACAUAAUGAGAAGAUCGAGAUAAAUAAGAUGCCAAAUGACAUUUCUUAGUGGAAUCAUAAUGACUGCCAUGUUGUGGUGGUAAAAAUCAUUGGAAAUCCUUACUUGGAACUAACAAUAUCUCUACAUUCCCCCCUCUCCCCAGCCCCUGGUAACCACAAUUCUAAUUUCUGUCUAUGAAUUUGCCUAUUCUAGGUACCUCAUAUAAGUGGAACCAUGUAAUAUUUGUCCUUUUGUGUCUGACUUAUUUCCCUUAGCAUAAUGUUUCCAAGAUUUUCAUUACUUUUUAAAAACAGAGUAUUAUUAUCUUAUUGAAUUGGCCAAUUAAUUACUUUCAAGAUCUGGAAGUGUUGGAAUAUUUUAUUCCAUUUUAUUGUGGCUCUCUCAUGGGCCACAAUUGCUUCUCUAUCAUACUCUCUCCUUGGAUGACCUCAUCCAACCUUAAAAUUUCAGCUACCAUAUAUAUAUAUAUUGAGUACUCCUAAGUCUGAAUCUCCAAUUAGGAUCUUCAUCUGGAUCUCUAGAUUCAUAUUUAGAUGCCUUCUUGGCUUCUCCACAUUGAUGUCUAAUGGGAAUCUUAGACUUCAUAUGACCAAAUCAGAAUUCUUGAUGUCCUUCCUCCAAAAUCUGCCUCUGCUCAAACUUGCCGUGCUUAAUCAAUUAUUAAAACUAAAAGUCUAGGCAUUGUUCCUGAUUUUUUUCUCUCCUUUACCUUCCUGUUGUCUCCUUCCCACCCCCCACCCCACCAUUCUAGCUUCCUAUUUUUUACCAUAUAAAUAACUUUUACAAACUCAUCAUUAUGAUAAUCAUCUGUAUCAGUGGUCCCCCACCUUUUGGCACCAGGGAUCAUUUUUGUCGAAGACAACUUUUCCACAGACCGGGGUUGGAGGGCAUGGUUUCAGGAUGAUUCAAGCAUAUUACAGUUAUCGUGCCCUUUAUUUCUGUUAUUAUUACAUUGUAAUGCAUAAUGAAAUUAUUAUAUAGCUCACCAUAAUGUAGAAUCAGUAGGAGCCCUGCACUUGUCUUCCUACAACUAGAUGGUCCCGUCUGGGGGUGAUGGGAGACAGUGACGGAUCAUCAGGCAUUAGAUUCUCAUAAAGAGCAUGCAACCUAGAUCCCUCACAUGCACAAUUCACAACAGAGUUAGUACUCCUAUGAGAAUCAGUACCACCACUGAUCUGACAGGAGGUGGAGCUCAAGCAGUAAUGUGAGCAAUGGGGAGUGACUGUAAAUACCACAUAUGAAGCUUUGCUCACUUGCCCACUGCUUAUCUCAUGCUGUGUGGCCCGGUUCCUAACAGGCCAUGGACUAGUACUCGUCUGUGACCCGGGGACUGGGAACCCCUGAUCUAUGUGACUGAUAUGCAAUUCCAAUUAUAGUCCAUUAAUAUAUCAUAUUUUAUAUAUUUUUAACAGUUGAUCUGAAGAUUUAAAAAUAUUUUAGGGCUAGGCGUGAUGGCUCAUUGUAAUCGCAGUGCUUUGGGAGGCCAAGGUGGGGAGGAUCACUUGAGCCCAGGAGUUUGAGACUAGCUGGGCAACAUAGCAAAACCCCAUCUCUACUGAAAAGACACACAUUAGCCAUGUGUGAUGGUGCAUGCAUGUAGUCCUGGCUAUGGUGGGGAGGACGAAGUGGGAGGAUCAUAUGAGCCCAGGUGGUUGAGGCUACAGUGAAUUAUGACUGCGCCACUGCAUUUCAGCCUAUGCAACAGAGCAAGACCCUGCCUGGAAAAAAAAGAAAACAAAAAGUAUUUGUAUAGAUGUUUUUACUAUAAAUGCUGGCUAAAAGCUGGGUGAUAGGAGGGUGUGUGAAAUUAGUUUAGCAGCCGUGUCUGCUGGCCUGUUGCUUCUGCCUUUGUAAUAUGUCCUAAAUCUGCCUGCUUCCCUCUGUCUUCAGUACAUACCCUAGUCUAGACCACCAAAAUUUGUUGUUUAGGGUACUGUAGUAAUCUCCUCCUUUUGCUUUUGAUUCCCUAUUGCCUGUUUUUCGACAGCAACCAAAGUGAUUUUUUAAAAAAUUAUUUUCAGCUGUUACAAAUUCAAAUGAAGUUAUGAAGAUAAUAUAGAAAGGACCUGUACUUGUACCCUUCUCCCAAUCUCCCUCCCCACCAAUUGGUUGCAUCUUAUGUAACUAUAGAUACUGGAAUGAAGUGUAAAUGUAGUUUGGUGUCAUUUCCUCUCACCUGUGUUGAUUCAUAUAACCACUGCAAUCAAGAUAAAGCAUCGUGGCAAGAGAUCUCUCAUGUUACCUGUUGUAGUCAUCCCUACCUGCUUACCUCCUACUAUAUCUAACCCUUCACAGUGAUUUUUUUUUUUUUUUUUUUUUUUUGACAGUCUCUUUCGCCCAGGUUGGAGUGCAAUGAUAUGAUCUCGGC